UAAUACUGCUACAGACUCAGCUCUUGGUAC
rnacentral:piRNA from 1 species